UCGGAGGCGGGACUCCCUUGCCUCCGCUAGCUCCGUAGUCUUCCGCCUCCUGCAGCACGAGGUCCUUCCUCCCUCUUUCCCUUAUAGGUCUGGCCAUACUGUCCCGCCUUCUCUGUUCCUGAAGCCCUCUCUUUUCUCCUCCAUGCACUCUUACUAACUUUAAAAGAAAUAUGUAACUCCAUCCUCCCUUCUGGACCUUGAAGGAAAGGAAAGACCUUGGAAGAAGAUGACAUGAGAGACAUUGGGAAUCUUUAUCAUCUCCCUAUCCCCAACUUACUUCACUUAAAACUUCAGAUUUUCUCUUUUGCUCUGAUUUUUCUCUCUCAACAAAAAUAAAUUUAGAAAAAAAAAAAAGAAAGAAGUAGGAAGGUCUGUCUCAUAUCCAGGACUCCUACUCCACAGCUGCCCUCAAGGACAUAAAUGACAGGUAAAAGGAGUUGGGUUGGUCACAUUGCAACAGAUAGCCAAUAUACAUGAUGCACUUUGAUCAACAAAAGAAUGAAGAUAUCAGAGAAAGAUCCCUAGAGCAUUGACAGGUUCUCUAUGAAGCAUUUGGACAACAUCAUAGAGAAAAGGCAUAAAUAGGUUGUAACCUGCACCAGUGGAAGAAAUACCUGCAUCAAUGACAUCAUGAACUCACAGAAGUAUAAAUCCUAUCUAAUCAUCUUUUCUAAAUUAAAAUAUUUUCAAGACACAAUCUCAUUUAUUCUUGUCUCCCCCAUUUCUGUACAAUGUAUUGCAUUAUCCCCACAUUUACAAAUAAGUAUAAAAAGAUGAAUGAUUGAAAAAGCAUUAGUUAAGCACCUAUUUUGUUUAAAGUACUGUGAUAGGAAUUGAGAAUACAAAUAAUAAAUGAGAUGGUCUCUUCCCUCUUACAUUUUAAUAGGAGACAAUUCACCUGUAGAAGAGGUAGUCAGAAAAGGGUGCUUUUGUUUUAAGAGUCACUAAAAUGGACAGUCAGUUGUUAUGACCUUUUCAGAAGUAAUGGUAACUUUGAUGUGACCACUGUUCCUAGAGUAAAGGAGAAGAAGAGAAGAGCAUGCCCCUUGAAGCAAGCCAAAAGUCAAGAUGUGAACCAAAGUCUGGGGGCAAGGAGAUAUAGUCCUUCAAGUUGACUUACCAGUCAAACUCAGCCCCAAGAGUUCCAAAGUGGAGUAAACAAUCUUAGGAAAAGAGAUGGUGGGAAGAAGAAUGAGAUUGGGGUGAGGGGGGAAAGGGAAAGAAGGGGAAGAGAAGAAAGGAGAGUAAAAGUUACUCGGAAGCAGAAGAUGGAUUGCUCAUAAAGAAUAAGUAAACUAAAGAAAUUGUAUGUAUUAAAUAUUUACUGUAUAAAAAAGUGUUAAGUGGUAGGGAUACAAACAAAAAUGAACACUGCUCUGUAAGAGUUCACAUUCUAAUGUGGGAGACAAUAUAUAUAAAAAGUUUCAGCUGCAUGUCAGAUAGUAAGGUCCUAUGAUUCUUAGGGUAUAACAUCCAAGCAAAUGGUAAUACAGCUUCUUUAAUUCUGAUAAAGUCAAGUGAAAUAAAUAUUUAUGGUGUAAAAUAGUCACUUGCUCAGGACAAGUUAAUAUUUCUUCCAGCCAAAUAAUUUUUUAAAUGAUUUAUUUCCUUAAUUUAUUGCCUGUUAUACCUCCUACAGAGAGGAUAGACUGGUAGUUAAUUUUUGUGGCAUAAUAAAAUUUUUCUACCU